rfam:Myotis brandtii contig179001, whole genome shotgun sequence.
CAUGCACCAGUGGGGUCCCUUGGCCUGGCCUGCAUGCUCUUGCAAUCCGGGACCCCUCAGGGGAUGUUGGAGAGUCGGAUUCAGCCAGAUCCUGCAGGCCAGGCCAAGGGAUCCCACUGGUGCAUG